rnacentral:rRNA from 1 species
UACGUAGGGUGCGAGCGUUGUCCGGAAUUAUUGGGCAUAAAGAGCUCGUAGGCGGUGUGUCGCGUCGGUCGUGAAAACUUGGGGCUUAACCCUGAGCUUGCGGUCGAUACGGGCAUCACUGGAGUUCGGCAGGGGAGACUGGAAUUCCUGGUGUAGCGGUGAAAUGCGCAGAUAUCAGGAGGAACACCGGUGGCGAAGGCGGGUCUCUGGGCCGGAACUGACGCUGAGGAGCGAAAGCGUGGGGAGCGAACAGG